rnacentral:lncRNA from 1 species
CAGGCAUUCUAACAAUUAAAUACAAUGUUAUAAGGAUGCAUUACCAAAACUGUGCUAACUUCUAAUUUUCUAUGUUGUUAUGUACUGCUGUUCUCACCAAGUCGUAUCCUUCAUCCCUUAGGUUUUUGCUAAUCCCACCACCAGCAAACAAUCAACUAAACUUAUCAACUAAUAGAUGACACAGAGAAUCAGGCCUCAUCACUUCUUUUCUUAGUUAACCUUGGAAGGGUUUGGUAUGUAUGACUUUAAAUUCAGAAUAUGUCCUAGUGUUCUAACAAUUAAAUGCAUUGUUAUAAGGGUACAUUACUAAGACUGUAUUAACUUCUAAUUUUCUAUGAUGCUAUGCACUGUUGUGCUUGCUCACCAAGUCGUAUCCUUCAUCCCUUAGGUUUUUACUAAUCCCCCACCAGCAAACAGUUGACCAAAGUUAUCAAUCAAUCAGUAGAUGGCAUAGAGAAUCAGCCUCUUCACCUCCUUUCUGUUAACUCUGGAAAGGUCUGGUAUGUCUUUUACUUAAAAUUCAGAAUAUGUCCGGGUGUUGUAACAGUGAAAUAAAAUAUUAUAAGGAUGCAUUAAUAAAACUGUAUCAACUUCUAAUUUUCUACGAUGCUAUGUACUACUGUCCUCACCAAGUCACAUCCUUCAUCCCUUAGGUUUUUGUGAGUCCCACCACCAGCAAACAAUCGACUAAACUUAUCAACUAGUCAAUAACUUCUAGGCUCCCAACUCAGAUUCUUGCAGCAUGCACAAUUUAACCAUUUUGAUAGAUGUGAACCUAGAUAAAAAAUAUUUUUCAGAUCCAUAUUCAGUAAAAAGUAGCUACCACUUGUACUUUCAAUUUAUAAUUUUACAAGAAAAGCAGUACAAUAAAGGAUUACAAGGAUAAAGUGUGCCAUAUAGAAUGAGAAUGCCCCAUCCCAUGAUAGAUAAAAUAGCUGGCCCAUCUAAGAACUAGGGAAAAAAAAAAAAGAGAAAUAUUUCUGAGACAUCUCAAAAUUUAAAAGCAAAA